GGCGCCGACCAACUAUUUGAUAUAAGAGCAGUUCAAUCUAUGCAUGCCAAAUAGCUCUAUUGUCUGGCUGAAGGCCAUUUAUUAGCUCGGCAAGGAUCACAUCAUCACGAUAUCACCAUGGUGCAGAAAGCUCUUCUCUUGUGUCUGCUCGUCAGCCUUAUCAUGGUGACGGUUACUGCCAGAGGUCACCCAGCGGUCAGAGAGUUAGCCAAACCAUCCUGUAAAAACGUCAAAUGUCGCAGAGGCAAAGUGUGUGAAAUCGUGGAUCUGCCAUCAUGCGUGUUUCCACCGUGCAUAAUUGCCAGAUGCGUUCGGGGCUAGCCACUUUCGGAUGUCACUGGAUUUUAACAAACAUGGAAUACAGAGGUUAAAACCGGCAAAAGUCUGUUGUUGUUACUUAAUAAAUGUCAAUCAAUAAGAA